AUACCCUGGUAGUCCACGCCGUAAACGAUGUCGACUUGGAGGUUGUGCCCUUGAGGCGUGGCUUCCGGAGCUAACGCGUUAAGUCGACCGCCUGGGGAGUACGGCCGCAAGGUUAAAACUCAAAUGAAUUGACGGGGGCCCGCACAAGCGGUGGAGCAUGUGGUUUAAUUCGAUGCAACGCGAAGAACCUUACCUACUCUUGACAUCCAGAGAACUUAGCAGAGAUGCUUUGGUGCCUUCGGGAACUCUGAGACAGGUGCUGCAUGGCUGUCGUCAGCUCGUGUUGUGAAAUGUUGGGUUAAGUCCCGCAACGAGCGCAACCC
rnacentral:rRNA from 1 species